GGAGGCAGCAGUGAGGAAUAUUGGUCAAUGGAGGCAACUCUGAACCAGCCAAGCCGCGUGAAGGAAGACUGUUCUAUGAAUUGUAAACUUCUUUUGUGGUAGAGUAAAUAUAGCUACGUGUAGUUAUUUGCAAGUAUACCAUGAAUAAGCAUCGGCUAACUCCGUGCCAGCAGCCGCGGUAAUACGGAGGAUGCAGGCGUUAUCCGGAUUUAUUAGGUUUAAAGGGUGUCUAGGCUGCCACAUAAGUCAGGGGUGAAAGUCGGUUGCUCAACAAUCGAAUUGCCUUUGAAACUGUGUGGCUCGAAUAUAGAUGAGGUAGGCGGAAUGUGUAGUGUAGCGGUGAAAUGCAUAGAUAUUACACAGAACACCAAUUGCGAAGGCAGCUUACCAAACUAUUAUUGACGCUGAAGCACGAAAGCGUGGGUAGCGAACAGGAUUAGAUACCCUGGUAGUCCACGCCGUAAACUAUGCUCACUCGCUGUUGGCAAUACAUGGUCAGCGGCUAAGGGAAACCGAUAAGUGAGCCACCUGGGGAGUACGAUCGCAAGAUUGAAACUCAAAGGAAUUGACGGGGGCCCGCACAAGCGGAGGAACAUGUGGUUUAAUUCGAUGAUACGCGAGGAACCUUACCUGGGCUUAAAUGUAGAGUUGCAUUACGUAGAAAUAUGUAUUUCCUUCGGGACUCUUUACAAGGUGCUGCAUGGUUGUCGUCAGCUCGUGCCGUGAGGUGUCGGGUUAAGUCCCAUAACGAGCGCAACCCCUAUUGUUAGUUACCAGCGCGUAAA
rnacentral:rRNA from 1 species